UGGGGAAUAUUGGGCAAUGGGCGCAAGCCUGACCCAGCAACGCCGCGUGAAGGAAGAAGGCUUUCGGUUGUAAACUUCUUUUGUCAGGGACGAAGCAAGUGACGGUACCUGACGAAUAAGCCACGGCUAACUACGUGCCAGCACCGCGGUAAUCAUGCGCU
rnacentral:rRNA from 1 species